GACGAACGCUGGCGGCGUGCUUAACGCAUGCAAGUCGAACGAUGAAGCUAGAGCUUGCUCUGGUGGAUUAGUGGCGAACGGGUGAGUAACACGUGAGUAACCUGCCCCGAACUCUGGGAUAACUGCUGGAAACGGUAGCUAAUACCGGAUAUGACCAAUGAAGGCAUCUUCUGUUGGUGGAAAGAAUUUCGGUUCGGGAUGGACUCGCGGCCUAUCAGCUUGUUGGUGAGGUAAAGGCUCACCAAGGCGACGACGGGUAGCCGGCCUGAGAGGGUGACCGGCCACACUGGGACUGAGACACGGCCCAGACUCCUACGGGAGGCAGCAGUGGGGAAUAUUGCACAAUGGGCGCAAGCCUGAUGCAGCAACGCCGCGUGAGGGAUGACGGCCUUCGGGUUGUAAACCUCUUUUAGCAGGGAAGAAGCGAAAGUGACGGUACCUGCAGAAAAAGCACCGGCUAACUACGUGCCAGCAGCCGCGGUAA
rnacentral:rRNA from 1 species